UGAAAAGCGAGGCAGAGAGAGAGAAAGAGGCAAAUGAGGCGAGAAACACGUACGGGGAAGGAGAAGUAAAGACUAAAAGAUGCAUAAGACGUGAUCACAGCUGUGUAGGGGAAAAGACGGAUUUCAUCCACACCAAGAGCCGUGCAUUGCGGAGACCCAUGCGGAGACAAAUCCAAAUGUGUCGGGGCAUGUAGGGGUGUAUGCGAGAGAGAGAGAGAUGGAUUAUGUGCGUGUGUGGUGUGAUGCUAACAGCGGGAAACUGAGCAUGUGCUGUGUGUGUUUGCAUCCAAGUCAAUUCUUUGAGCAGGAGUGUGUGGUCGUGAGAUAAGAACUUACAAGGAAAUGCACAUUGACAGGUGUGCGCACAAGACAGGAUGUACUGAAGCUGUUGGAUCCUCUCAGCUAAGGUUUGAUUAGAGUGUGUUGGUCUGAAUAUAUCAAAGCGAGGUACUGCAUCAUUCCCUAGGGACAACUACACUGCCCAUCUGAUUUAACACUGCCAAUUGAUUUGGCUUGCUGUGAUCCGAUGACAUGGGAUCUAAUCUACUCAUCUGCGCUCUCCACCUGAGCUAAGGACGUCCUGCGGAUACGAGGCAGAAAGAACAACAGAAUGAAGAGUCUUCUCGUCCUGACUGCUAUGACGUUGUGUAAAGCAGACAAAACCAUCAAGAUAAAGAAAAGGGCUAUAUGUAUGUACAUUAAAAACAUGAGUUAUUGAAGGGACAUGUCCCCCUUAUUAUCUAUUGUGGUAACAGCCCUGUAACCAACUUUAUUACCUAGUCAACCAGAUUAAUUAAA